AAGGUGCUAGGAUAAGUACUUGAAUACGUGUUCUGUCAGUUUUAUUUCACUGUUGUUAAAUUCCAGCGCGACGGCAAAACGGAAGUUCUUCUUCUUUGUUGCAAGACGGAUGUUAUGAUACACUGCUUUGCGAAAAGGCGGAAGUUAAGUGAUGUCAUUGUGAAAAGGGCCUAUUCAAGGUUUGGAUGAGACUGGAAACAUUCACAUCAGGAGGGACUGUGCGCUAAAGGCUCUUAUUUUUUUCCUGGGAGAAAAUCCGAAAGACCUAAUCAAAGAGUUGACCAGGCAGAUGAUUGUGAAAGUGACCUUGCGCAGCUCACCAUUGCAGUGUACAUUGUUCGGGAAGGAGGGAGGAGAAUUUCUUCAACCGCCUGACGACAUAUGCAUUGUGAUUGAGGGUGUGAAAAUUUUGAAUCAAGUGACUUCGGUCACAUCAGCUUGUGCACUUCUCAUGGGUAUGAUGUACGUAAUCAACUUGGUUUAUCCGAAACCCCUUCGAUUUACUUUCGAGGUCUUCCAGAAAGUUUUCUUGCAACUUGAUCAACACAAAAUGUCACACAGAGUUCAGAGUCUUUUUUUAGUAGAUUACAGUAAAUGUCACAUUGAAGCACUUC